GCGGGUGUAGUUCAAUGGCAGAACAUCAGCUUCCCAAGCUGAGAACGCGGGUUCGAUUCCCGCCACCCGCUCCG
rnacentral:tRNA from 1 species